GCCUCAAAAGCGAGGCUAUAAGGAACUGAAAAUAUACAGAGAAGAUUAGCAUGGCCCCUGCACUAAGGAUGACACGCUCAAUCAGAGACAAGCUUACUUUUUUU
rnacentral:snRNA from 1 species